AUAAACAGCCCACGAUGUCCAUAAACUCAUCACUUGAUUUAAAGUUAUAGAAGGAAAAAUAAGAGAAAGAAACCAACGGGAUCAGAAAUGGCAACCACAUGCAAAGGUAAGAAUUCAUGGCCAGAACUUGUUGGAAAAAACGGAGAUGAAGCAGCAGAAAUCAUAAAGAGAGAAAAUCCAAACAUUGUUGAUGCCAUUGUGAUUCCGGAAAGAGCUGCAGUAAUUCUGAACUUCAGCUGCGAGAGGGUUUGGAUUAGGGUCAACGAGUGCAAGAUUGUUACUAAAGUUCCUACAAUAGGCUGAAAUUGUUCAAUUUCGUCUGUAAUUUUAUUUUCUUAAUUAAUGUAUAUUUAUUAUGUCUAUGUUUAUGAAUAAUAAUAUUAUGAUAUCUCUCACAAUACCAUUGGCUGGUUUUCGAACUGACCAUUUAAUU